rnacentral:lncRNA from 1 species
UUUGAUAAUUGAUAUGGUUUGGCUGUGUCCCCACCCAAAUCUCAGCUUGAAUUGUAUCUCCCAGAAUUCCCACGUGUUGUGGGAAGUACCCAGCAGAAGGUAAUGGAAUCCUGGGGGCUGGUCUUUCCCGUGCUAUUCUUGUGAUAGUGAAUAAGUCUCACAAGAUCUGAUGGGUUUAUCAGGGUUUUCUGCUUUUGCUUCUUCCUCAUUUUCUCUUGCCGCUGCCAGGUCAGAAGUGCCUUUCACCUCCUGCCAUGAUUCUGAGGCCUCCCCAGCCACGUGGAACUUAGAGACGAGGUUUCACCAGAUUGGGCAGGCUGGUCUCGAACUCCUGACCUUGUGAUCCACCCACCUUGGCCUCCCAAAGUGUUGGGAUUACAGGAGUGAGCCACCGCACUGGUCCUAUUUGUAUAUUUUCUUAAAGGUGGAAACUGGAGUACACAGACACUAGAACUAGCUGGCCGCUUCUGAGCUGGCAGGGGUGGACUCCACUCUCUGGGUCCCACUGUGUUCCACCUGUCUCAGGAGUAGGAGUGCAGGAUUUGAAUCAAGAGCCAUGAUUUCAUGUUAUAGAAAACUGUACAUUCUUCAAUUAAUGAAAAUGAAGAGCUUAUUGACUAAAUAUUAUUGAAGAAAUUCAUUAUCUGUGAGAACACGAAAAAUUUGCGACCUAUCCCAAAUUUCAAGCAAGCAGUGGAGGAGAACUAACUUGACAGCAUGUUGAAACAUGCAAUGGAGAAAAAGUGUAAGGUCAAUGGAGACUGCUAUUUUUUGGUGGAGCAAUUACAUUUACAGAGCAUUUUGCAAUGUACAAAACUUUACAUGAAAAUUUACAAUUUGUAUUCUUUUGAGUUUCUUAUAGUCACUAGAAAGGUAAAUAAGUCAGGGUUUGCCCAAUGUCCCAUCAACUCUAAAUAGUAAAGGGAAGAGGAGUUCAGAUGUCUGGCUCCUAGGCAAUCUCUCCAAUCUCUCUUCAUUUCAGUUAGCUGCUUCUUCUGACUACCUGUCUUAAUUUUCUCCAUGCUGUUAUUCUUUCACGAUAUGCUUACCACAUUUGAUCUAACACUUAGUAUGGUGUGUGGUACAUAACAGGAGCUCAAUGAAUACGUACGUGUUGAAUGAAUAACUGGAUGAAUGAAUAAAUAAAUGAGUAGAUAAGUGAGUGUGUUCAUUCGUGUUCAAGACACUGGAGUCUGAGUUGGUGGUUACAUUUAGCACCUUUAGCAGGGUUGCUCUAACAUACCUGAUACAUACUUUCUUUCAGAAGAUGGCAAUUUGGAUCAUUUUGCCUCUUUUAUUCUAUGAUUUGACAAGCAUUGAGUUUUUUGAGUACUAUUUUUUGCUUUGUUUGAGGAUGUUUAUUUCAUUUUGAGAAGCUAAUAUCUUGUAAGGAUGGUACACUGGGAAUUACAAAGUGAUCUGCAGUUUUAUUUUCCUUAUAUUUGAGUUUAAGAAAUCUCCUAAAUAGGAAAAUUGAAAAGAAACUCUUAUAGUUUUACAUGAUACAUGAACCAGACCCCUCUAUUUCAUAAGCUACUCUUAUACAUGCUAUCUUCAUAAUUAGUUUCUUUAUUAUCAGACAUUAAGAAAAGUUUGGAAGGCUCAAAAAUCUUCCCUGAUAUUUUUCAUUUUCUACAACAGUAGGCUCACAGUGAUCUAGGUGAUGACAUUUAUGAAUCCUGUAUGUAGUUUUCAACUUCCCUAAGAAAUAUUUACAUUUUUUCCAACUUAGUUUAUUCACUUGUCCUGCUCAAUGUGUUGGUAUAAAUAUGGAUUUAAUUCUCAUUAUAUUUUCACUUUGGGCUUGUCAUUCUGUGCUGAAUUGGAAUUUUCAAUCUUAAUGCCAUACAUGAAUAUUUACAUGGAUUGUUGGAUUGCAAAAAGGAGCUGGAAAAGAAACUAUCAUCAGAGCAAACCGACAACCUACAAUGGGAGAAAAUUUUUGCAACCUAUCCAAUUAACAAAGGUCUAAUAUCGAGAGUCUACAUCUAUGAGGAAGUUAAACAAGCUAUAGGAAAAACAACCCCAUUAAAAAGUGGACAAAGGACAUGAAUAGACACUUCUCAAAAGAAGACAUUUAUGUGGCCAACAAACAUGAUAAAAAGCUUAACAUCACUGAUCAUUAGGGAAAUGCAAAUGAAAACCACAAUGAGAUACUAUCUCACACCAGUCAGAAUGGCCAUUAUUAAAAAGCCAAAAAACAACAGAUGCUGGCAAGGCUGUGGAGAAAUAGAAACACUUUUACACUGUUAGUGGACAUGUAAAUUAGUUCAACCAUUGUGGAAGACAGUGUGGUGAUUCCUAAAAGACCUAGAACCAGAAAUACUUUUUGACCGAGUAAUCUCAUUACAGGGUAUAUAUCCAAAGGGCUAUAAAUCCCUCUAUUAUUAUUAUUAUUAUUUGAGAUGGAGUCUCACUCUGUCUCCAGGCCGGAGUGCAGUGGCGUGAUAUCAGCUCACUGCAACCUCCACCUCCCAGGAUUAAGCAAUUAUCUUGCCUCAGCUUCCUGAGUAGUUGGGACUACAGGCGCACACCACCACGCCCAGCUAAUUUUUUUUUUUUUUUGUAUUUUUGGUAGAGACGGGGUUUCAUCAUGUUGGCCAGGAUGGUCUUGAUCUCUUGACAUCAUGGUCUGCCCACCUCGACCUCCUAAAGUGCUGGGAUUACAGAUAAGAGCCACUGAACUUGGCCAUAAAUCAUUCUAUUAUAAAGAUACAUGCACACAUAUGUUCACUGCAGCACUCUUCACAAUAGCAAUGACAUGGAAUCAAUCCAAAUGCCCAUCAGUGAAAGACUGGAUAAAGAAAAUGUGGUACGUAUAUACCAUAGAAUAGUAUGCAGCCAUAAAAAGGAAUAAGGUCAUGACCUUUGCAGGAACAGAUCGAACUGGAAGUCAUUAUCCUCAGCAAACUAACACAGGAACAGAAAACCAAAUACUGCAUGUUCUCACAUCUAAGUGGGAGCUGAACAAUGAGAACACAUGGACACAGGGAAGGGAACAAAACACACUGAGGCCUGUCAGUAGUGGGGAGUAGAGAGGGAGAGGAUCAGGAAAAAUAGCUAAUUCACACUGGGCUUAAUACUUAGGUGAUGGGUUGAUAGAUGAAGCGAACCACCAUGGCACAUGUUUACCUAUGUAACAAAGCUGCACAUCCUGCACAUGUACCCUGGAACUUAAAAUAAAAUAAAAAUAAAAGAAUAAAGGAGCUGGGUUGUUGGAUUAAAAGAGUUGUUGGAUUCAAAAGAAGACAGGCAGGACUGUAUGCACAUGGUAAAUGCUGCUAGGGAAACAAUUCCUUAGUAAACAUUUUUAAUUGUGGUUGAACAUGAAUCAAGGUAGUUUUCACAAAGAAAUAGUACCACUAGAAUGAAUGUAUAGUAUUUUUUAAUAUAAAUGCAGAAUGAUACCGUGUGGACUAUGCACUUCAGCAAUAACUUUUAGUAAUUGCAAUCAUAUCAAUUCUGCAGUUAAAGGGAUUGCUUAUGUGUCCAUUUUCAUAUAUACUAAAGGGUGCAUUCGAUCAGUGACUUUUCACACAAUAACUAGAUGACCCUUAUCUUGUAGUCAUUAUUUAAAUAAUUAAUGAGUUUAUAUACUUAACAAGUAAGCAUUGAUUCAUUGUGGUAUAGGAGAAAAAGAAUGUAGACAGAUUUAGUUUUAAUUCUUUUUAAACUACAAAAUUUGGAGCGAAUUACUAUCAGUAAGCAUCAGUCUCCUAAUGAUAAUAAUAUUUAUGCUGUAUGUGUAAAAUAUUAGGUUAAAAAUGAUUACAUCGGGUAAUUCAAAUUUACUAUGCCCAUAGUAGAACUGAUUAUCUCUGAGGGAUGCUUGAGAAAAUCAGAGGUGAAUUUUUUAAACAAUAAGGUAGAAAUUUUAGGAUACAAAGAAAUCUAGAGACCAGCGAAAAAUAUUUAUUCUACUCCUAUUUUUUUAUUCUAUGCUCAAAACAAUAUUAUACAACACCGAGGUGUUAACUCACUGGUUUUAUCCUUCUUGUUAUACAUUCUUAAGGAUAGUAAUUCUUUCUGGAAUUUAAAGAGACUUGACUUCCCAUUUUUGAGUAUGGGCAUAUUAUAGAGUUUUCCCCAUCACCAGUUCAUUUUGAAGACCCUGCAGAGGACUUUUUACCAGUUGACCACUUCCCGUAGGGCAGAAGUGACUGACCUUCAGGCCAGUUUAAUGGGCUAUUCUUUCACUGUUCUGAAGUUGUUUUUGAAAAGUAUUUUCUUACAGGUAAUUUCCUUUGGUAGCAAGGUGAAUUUCAAGGAAGGGACACAGAGAUUUGGGUUGAGAAGAAUUUACAACCAUAAUUUGAUAUUUCUACAUUUUAAAUUCCCCAAGAACAGGAAACAUGAUUAAAAUAUGAUGAGAAUUAAGGAGCAUUUCACAGUACAGGGAGUCAGCCAGAUUAUCAUCUUUCCCCCAAGUAUUUUUAUACUCAAAGUUUUUUGGUGUAAUUAUUUUUUUAUAAUCCCUCAGACUAAAAACUUCAGGGCUAUCCUCAACUUUUUGAGACCCUACAUCUACAUCUAAUUGGUUGCCAACUUAUGCUACUUUAAAUCCCUGUACUACCAUUUAUUGGUUAUAUGAAAGACAAAAAUCACUACCUUCGGGUCAUGCAUGUAAUAAAAUGUGACAGUGAAAUCAUCCUCAGAAAGUGGUAUAAAUGGCAUGGGUCUAUAAUCUUAUAAAUGUGCAAAGAUUUUAGAAAUCUUACUUCAGCCACAUGAACUCUGUUUUAAAAAUAUUCUACAUAGGUAUCAGCUUGUGGUCUCCACAGAAAAAUGGGGGUAAAGCUUGUGUUCAAUGCUUUAUAGAGAAUAAAGGGAAGUGAAGUAGAAUAGGAGAAAAAGCAAAUAAAAGAUGGUGCUUGCAAACUGGCUAGCAUCCUGACAUAAGAAAGACUUGCUCCUAGGUCGCAGGUUAUGUCUUUACAGAGUGUUUGUGGGAUCCUUGAAACCUUGAAUAGUUUAUCUUCUUGUAUUUUGUCUCUCAUUGAGCAAUGUUAACUCUCCUGUAUCUGAAGAUUAUGUUGCCCAGCCCUCUCAACCACUCCCAGGCAGCUGCAAUGAAGCUCAGAACAGGACUUGCCAGGCACUGGAAUUGCUACAAUUCCCACUAAGGUGGGUGAGAAGGAGGCUGUGACAAAGUAUGGCUCUUGACCACAGCUAAUAGUAUUAGGAUAUGAAGCAAUACAGGGAAAGACCGGGGUUCCUCAGUGCCAAGUGAAUUAGGAGGGGCGUGAACUGUGUUUGCUACAACAUCAAUUCAGGAUUAUAUUAUUUUUGACAUGUUUGUGAUCCAGUAAACUGAAUUUUGCCAACACAACAGUCUGUAUCAUCAUUGCUCAUUAAAUGCCAGAGAAGCAGGAAGAGAAACAAUUAGGGAUGUUGAUUUCUAAGUAUAACAAAUGAAAUAAUGAUGUUAGAGGAAGACAAAGGAAAUGGAAAUCAGGUGAGUAGUUCACUAUUUGCUGUGCAGUAUGGAAACACUUUCUGAAUGCUAGUUACCGGUUUUCACAGCAGAAUGCAUUUAAGCAGAAGAUAAACAUUAACAUGAUACUUCACCACAUUUAAAGACAUCAUUGUUGGGCUGGGUGCAGUGUCUCACACCUGUAAUCGCAGCACUUUGGGAGGCCAAAGUGAGCAGACUGCUUGAACUCAGCAGUUCAAAACUUGGGCAACAUGGUGAAACCCGGUCUCUACUAAAAAUACAAAAAUUAGCUCUGCCUGGUGGCAUGCGUCUGUAGUCCCAGCUACUCAGGAGGCUGAGGUGGGAGGAUUGCUUGAACCAGGGAGGCAGAGGUUGCAGUGAGCCAAGAUCAUGACACUGGACUCCAGCCUGGGAAAGAGGGUGAGAUCCUGUCUCAAAAAAAAAAAAAAAAAAAAAAAAGACAUCAUUAGGACAAUGAAAAUGUUUAAAUAUUAAUAAAAUUCUCUGCAAAAAUGUUGUCAAAAUCUUCAUAAGGAAGAUAAUCUGGAAGCUCAAUAAAGAGAACUUCAGUGAUUCAAUGCUUUCCUCCAUUUUGAUCAACCCAGUGAAAAUCAGGAUGUAUUAUUUUAUGUUUUUAAUGCUGUUCUAUGCCAUUUAAUAGCAGAAACUUAAGUUUGGAACCACCUGCUGGAUGUUUGAAACUAAUGUUUUUCACUACAGUUAAUAAAAAAAUAUUCAGGGGACUUAGUAACUCAGCUCAUAAAAUAACAAAAAAUCAAUUUUAGAAUAAGUAUAAAAUGAAACCAUUGUUUUCUGGGAUGGACUAUUGUGCAGAAUCAUUGCGAAUUUUGUUCAUAAAUAUUAAUUGGUCUGUCACUGUAUAUAUAUAUAUGUAUACAUACAUCAUUUCCUCAUUUGCAUGUAUAUAUGCAAAGACAAGGUGAAUUAAUACAGAGUAGCUGCUUAGUUUUUAAAAUAUUGUACAAAUGGAAAACUAAAAACCAUUCAAACUAGAUCAAUUGCAUGCAAGAUAUAAAAUAAUCUACAUUUAUUUGAAAGCUACUAUGUAUA